GCGUUGUGAAUACUAGCCAAUCGAAAUCAUCCACGUUAGAAAACGUGCAUGUAUAAAAUGUCUAUUCAAUGUACGGUCAUCAUUUAAACUACUCGUGUAUUCUGUAAGACAUACAUCAUUAUUUACUGGGCUGCUUAAAAUGAAGAUUGCAUGUUUUCUUCUUCUGGUCUGUAUGGCAAAUCUCUAUGUUGAAACAGAAAGUUGCGGUAAUUGCAGGAAGCAUGGCCACUGUGGUGAUGAUAGUGAUUGUUGCGAUUCAGCUCCUUGCCUCAAAAAUUAUCUCGGACUAAAAAGAUGUACAGUACAUAGUAGAAAAUAAAAGGAAAAACACACAAUGAAUAAAAUAAACUUCUAGAAAAAAUAAACAUCUGACAUUGACAA